rnacentral:rRNA from 1 species
UGGGGAAUAUUGCACAAUGGGCGAAAGCCUGAUGCAGCGACGCCGCGUGAGGGAUGACGGCCUUCGGGUUGUAAACCUCUUUCAGUAGGGACGAAGCGCAAGUGACGGUACCUGCAGAAGAAGCACCGGCUAACUACGUGCCAGCAGCCGCGGUAAUACGUAGGGUGCGAGCGUUGUCCGGAAUUACUGGGCGUAAAGAGCUCGUAGGCGGUUUGUCACGUCGUCUGUGAAAUCCUAGGGCUUAACCCUGGACGUGCAGGCGAUACGGGCUGACUUGAGUACUACAGGGGGGACUGGAAUUUCUGGUGGAGCGGUGGAAUGCACAGAUAUCAGGAAGGACACCGAUGGCGAAGGCAGGUCUCUGGGUAGUAACUGACGCUGAGGAGCGAAAGCAUGGGUAGCGAACAGG